rfam:Dictyocaulus viviparus strain HannoverDv2000 D_viviparus-1.0_Cont17381.1, whole genome shotgun sequence.
GGAUCAUUGGCUCAGGCGCAGAGCGUUGUCUAGUAAACAGAAGGUCUCUGGUUCGAUUCCAGCAUGAGGCA